rnacentral:rRNA from 1 species
UACGUAGGGUGCAAGCGUUGUCCGGAAUUAUUGGGCGUAAAGAGCUCGUAGGCGGUUUUGUCGCGUCUGCUGUGAAAAACCCCGGGGGCUCAACCCCCGGGCCUGCAUUCGAUACGGGCAGACUAGAGUUCGGUAGGGGAGUCUGGAAUUCCUGGUGUAGCGGUGAAAUGCGCAGAUAUCAGGAGGAACACCGGUGGCGAAGGCGGGACUCUGGGCCGAUACUGACGCUGAGGAGCGAAAGCGUGGGGGAGCGAACAGG